rnacentral:lncRNA from 1 species
UUUAAGAUAAUUUGCACGUUUAGUCCCUAUCUAAUUUUUUAACUCGGAAAGUCCCUACUAUUUAUUUUUUGUUACGUGUUUGAUCCCUGUCUUACUUAAAAAAACUAUUUUGGCAUUGAUUUUUUAAUUUAUUUAAAUAAACACACUCCCAACCUAUCCCCUCACCUUACCUUACCUACUUCACCGUUUUCCCAAUUUAAAUAAUAAUAUUUUUAAAUAAGACAUGGACCAAACGCGAAACAAAAAUGAACAAUAGGUACCAAGCGCGUAACAAAAACAAACAGUAGAAACUUUCCGAGUUAAAAAAAUAAAUUAUGGACCAAACGCGUAAAUUACCCCAAACCAUAGGGACAAUUCGUUUAAUUUCAUCAAUAUCCUUCAAAAUCAGAUUUGUGUACAGCAAAAUCAUUUUUAGUCAACAAAAAUCCAAAAAAAAAAAAAAAAUCAGAUCUUGAUAUGAUUUCAAUAAUUGAUAAAAGUUUCAGCUGGAAGCUACUCCAUUCUCAAAAACCACUCAGCUCUCCUUCUCGUUUGUAUAUAGUUAAGAUGAUGAAAGGAGUCGGUGAUCCCAUUCCUUCAGUUUCCGACGAACCAUGAGGCUGCCGCCUCCGUUUCAUCCCUUUUCCUGUGAACAGCAAUCCGACCAACCAAAAACACCUCUUUCCUCAUCUGUUUUCUUGCUUUCCCUUGUCAAACAGCAACAGCCCUAUCGAUUCCUGUGAAAAAUCAAACCCAAACAUCCAUUUUGUUCCUCCUUCGAAUUCUGUUAAACAUCAGACAAACACCCACCUAAAAACAUUGAUUAAAUCUAUUAAAAAAGGCAAAACAAAACAAAAAAAAGCCAUACCUGUUAAUCCCGUUCAUUUUCUGUUGAAGAAUCACCACCUAAAUGCCCUGCUGCCUUCAUCUUUCCUUCCUCGAUCAAGCAAUGGACCGGAGAUGCUAUCAUCGUGAUUACUCCAUUAAGGCAGCUGGCCUCGCACCUCAUCACUACAUCAACAGGGUCCGACGAAAACCCUAGUCACACCGAGCCCUCUUGCCUUCACACCUCACAACCGAGCCGGAGCACCAAAUAUCGACACUCCUCGGACCGAUUCUCUUCCCCUUCCGUCGAGCAAAACCUCCGAAAACCUCAUCUGCUUCGAAGCUAUUACUGCUUGCGACGCCUGGAAUUCGCUCCCCGCAACCGAACGAGAAGAGGGAAGCCUCGCUGCUUCACCCACCUUCCCCUUUGGUCUCGUUGAACCCCCGAAGACUCCUUCCUCUUCGCGAAUCAACCGAAGAAAUCGCGCCUGCGAGACUUCCCGUUUCCUUCUCGCCGUCCUCGAUCCGACUCCCUUCGUUCAUCUGCUUCGUCGCCUUCGUUCCAUCUGUUGGAAGAUUUCGUUCAUUCCUUUAAUUGCCCGAUCAAAACAAGAGACGGGGAAUUAAAAAUGCCCUAACCCCUUUUGACUUCGACAAAAUGACAAAAUUACCCUCACUAUUAAACCUUUAUUCAAAAAUCAGUCCCAAACCCCAAAUAAUGAUCCCAUUUAUUCAAAAACAACCCAUACAUUGAUAAUUAUCAACCAAAACAGUCCCAUUUAUUCAAGAAGUUACAUACCAGCGGUUAUAUUUUGUUCAAGUUACAAAAUCAAUCCUUUGUGUUAAUUAAAUUACAAAAUAGCCUUUUUAAAUAUAAAACGUUUCAAAACAAGUCCUAUUGAUUUAAAAUAUUAUAAAAAUUGCCCCAGCCUUGUUUUAACCCAAAAAGACGUCAAGAUGCGGUUAUUCACGAAAAGCUUCACCAAAACGAACCAGGAUCGAGAUCACGCAUCGAAUAUGAGUUUCUAUGGCCCCUCUUUUACUAUUUUAAUAUUGGGGGGAGAAUACAUGCGUGUCUAUUAAAGUUUUGUUUUGAUGAUUGUCAUGUUUUAUACACACAACAACAUCAUACUCUGUUUUUGGUAAAAAAAAUUAUUAAAUAGCAA